rnacentral:rRNA from 1 species
AUUGAACGCUGGCGGAAUGCUUUACACAUGCAAGUCGAGCGGCAGCGCGGGGCAACCUGGCGGCGAGCGGCGAACGGGUGAGUAAUACAUCGGAACGUGCCCAGACGUGGGGGAUAACUACUCGAAAGAGUGGCUAAUACCGCAUACGAUCUAAGGAUGAAAGCGGGGGAUCGCAAGACCUCGCGCGUUUGGAGCGGCCGAUGGCAGAUUAGGUAGUUGGUGGGGUAAAGGCUUACCAAGCCCGCGAUCUGUAGCUGGUCUGAGAGGAUGAUCAGCCACACUGGGACUGAGACACGGCCCAGACUCCUACGGGAGGCAGCAGUGGGGAAUUUUGGACAAUGGGCGAAAGCCUGAUCCAGCAUUCCGCGUGCAGGAUGAAGGCCCUC